UCAUUUUCUUGGUGUUUCUGCUUCCUGCUGCCCCAUCCUUUCCUGGUCCCCUGCUCCCUAUGGAGGUGGAGCCUCCAGACCUUUGAGGAUGCAGCUGUUUUCUCUUCCCUCUAAUGCUGGUACUACAAAGGGAAUUUUGCCUGCUAACAUGAGUGUUUGAUCCGAUCUAUUUGGCAGCAAAAUCUAUGCUUCUCAAGGGCCAGAUUAUUUCUCUGCUGUUACUAUUUAGGACAAACAAAAGGUUACUGUCCAAAUUCUCA